ensembl:lncRNA
AUGCACAAGUCCACCUUGGGAAAAACGCAUUAUGGGCUCGAGUGGAUUCUGAAAGCUCUUCUAAUCACAUUUGUUCAUCUGUUCAUGUGGCAUACACCUGUGUGAAUUUGGCAUGGGCUCGGGUGCGGUAUAGGAGAAUUCAGGUUCAAAGCAAACUUCCAAACUUCCAAUUGUUGUUCCGUUCUCAGAGUGGCACAGACAAUUUCCUACUUCACCCAUGGAAAGACAGUAUUCUUAGCAUAUCUGUGAGCUGCUGUUGCCCUUUGGUAAAAAUAUUAACCUAGAUCAAAGGGCAUAGGUCUCAUUUGCACUUACUUUAAAGUAGACAGGGGGGAAAAUAUAAAGAUCUUUUGAAUUUCGUACUAGGAAAAAAAUAAGAUUUCACAGAUGGACUCCUCAUGGAUACAUCUUAUUAGUCUCUCUUUAGGAGAAUUGCAUUAAAAUGCUUUGGUUUGUAUGUGAGUAUUUCUUAACAUCCUGUAAAAGAUUUCUGUAUGUUUUAUCUUUUUCUUAUUUAUUUAUUUUUGUUUCUGUAUAUUUUAGAAAAACAUCUGAUAGCCAAGUUCAUGGAAAAAGGGAAGAAAUAGUAGAGGCUAAAGGAGGACAGAUAUAUUAAAAACAAACAUUUAGGCUGACAAAACUUCCCAGGUGACACAAAUGCACAGCCAGUCUUGAGAACUGAAUUCUCUAUUGUCCAUCCCAUAGACUUCGGCUGAUACCAAGCCUACUUCUGAGGUAAGGUAGGCUGGUAGGAUAAUGAGGUAGGCCUGUUUGGUUGGAUAAGGGGGGGAAAUUUGGGGAGGGAGCAAUAGGUGCAGGAGAGCUUGAAGACCAAGUUAAUGAUGGCCAGGGAAACAAUUCAGGGGGCUUUUGAUAGCCUCAGGAUUCUGGCCUCGCUCAACCUUUUAUUCUAGUUACAAACACCUUCUGGUCACACUAGACAUCAAGGGCCGUUUCCCUAGGUAGUUAUUGCUCUACAUUCCCUUCUUUUCUCUCAUUUGAUCCACAUUUCUCUUUGUCAAACACAAAUCAAUUUCAGUCCCUCCCAGAAAUCUGGCUGGCCUGUUUAGACCUAGUUACUCCAAAGAAACUUUAAUAAUUUAUUUAUUUUUUAAAAUAUUUAUUUACUUAUUUGAAAGGCAGAGUUAAAGAGAGGCAGAGGCAGAGAGAGAGAGACAGAGAAAGGUCUUCUGCUGGUUUACUCCCCAGAUGGCUGCAAUGGCUGGAGCUAAGCUAAUCCAGAGCCAAGAGCCAGGAGCCAGGAGCCAGGAGCCAGGAGCCAGGAACCAGGAGCCAGGAGCCAGGAGCCAGGAGCCAGGAGCCAGGAGCCUCUUCUGAGUUUCUCAUGUGGGUGCAGGGGUCCAAGGACUUGGGCCAUCUUAUACUGCUUUCUCAGGUCAUAGUAGAGAGCUGGAUUGGAAGUGAAACAGCUGGGACUCAUACCAGCUCCUAUAUGGGAUGCCAGCACUGCAGGUUAUGGUUUUACUUGCUUUACCACAGUCCAGCCCCAAUACUUUAAUAAUUUGAAGCUCUCUUUAUCCCAGAGUUAACCUAAAUUUUCAAAGUAGAUAGAGAUCUGCAGAUUCAAUGUUUAGUAUAUUGACUACUUCUUUUCC